rnacentral:rRNA from 1 species
GAGUUUGAUCGUGGCUCAGAACGAACGCUGGCGGCGUGGAUAAGACAUGCAAGUCGAACGGGAGAAUUGCUAGCUUGCUAAUAAUUCUCUAGCGGCGCACGGGUGAGUAACACGUGAGUAACCUGCCCCCGAGAGCGGGAUAGCCCUGGGAAACUGGGAUUAAUACCGCAUAGUAUCGAAAAGAUUAAAGCAGCAAUGCGCUUGGGGAUGGGCUCGCGGCCUAUUAGUUAGUUGGUGAGGUAACGGCUCACCAAGGCGAUGACGGGUAGCCGGUCUGAGAGGAUGUCCGGCCACACUGGAACUGAGACACGGUCCAGACACCUACGGGUGGCAGCAGUCGAGAAUCAUUCACAAUGGGGGAAACCCUGAUGGUGCGACGCCGCGUGGGGGAAUGAAGGUCUUCGGAUUGUAAACCCCUGUCAUGUGGAGCAAAUUAAAAAGAUAGUACCACAAGAGGAAGAGACGGCUAAACUCUGUGCCAGCAGCAGCCGCCGUAAC